GAUGAACGCUGGCGGCGUGCCUAAUACAUGCAAGUAGAGCGAACGGACGAGAAGCUUGCUUCUCUGAUGUUAGCGGCGGACGGGUGAGUAACACGUGGAUAACCUACCUAUAAGACUGGGAUAACUUCGGGAAACCGGAGCUCAUACCGGAUAAUAUUUUGAACCGCAUGGUUCAAAAGUGAAAGACGGUCUUGCUGUCACUUAUCGAUGGAUCCGCGCUGCAUUAGCUAGUUGGUAAGGUAACGGCUUACCAAGGCAACGAGGCAUAGCCGACCUGAGAGGGGGGUCGGCCACACUGGAACUGGGACACGGUCCAGACUCCUACGGGAGGCAGCAUUAGGGAAUCUUCCGCAAUGGGCGAAAGCCGGACGGAGCAACGCCGCGUGAGUGAUGAAGGUCUUCGGAUCGUAAAACUCUGUUAUUAGGGAAGAACAUAUGUGUAAGUACCUGUGCACAUCUUGACGGUACCUAAUCAGAAAGCCACGGCUAACUACGUG
rnacentral:rRNA from 1 species